ensembl:lncRNA
GUGAUGUGUGAUUCCAUUUGAAUGUCUGUACAGCUCUUAAAGCAACACUCUGAGAACUUGUCCCGCUUUGGUCCCCCUACAGGGGUUGUCUCAUUGGAACUACAGCUCGCGCUACUCGAUGCCAGCUGUAGUUCCAAUGAGGCGGGAAAAGUUCUCUAGUGCUUUAAGCUUGAAGGACAUGUUUAGCAUCUAGCUAGCGUCUCACGUUCAUCUCAGUAAGCUAGCAAGAGUACCCAACAGACAACUCCUGUGUAGACUACUUCAAAAUAAAAGCACUUCCUGUGACGGUUCGCAGUAAAACUAAAUUACUGUUAAACAAAUGUUUACUUCAUUAUUGGGUGACAGGAAGAAAGUUGAACAUUACUUAAGAAGCUGUGUCGUGUUUCCUGACAAGUGCUGUGGACUAUGCACUUGAGAAGCUGCCACUGGAAGAGCCACUGAUCAAACAUGCAACAUUUGUAGAUGUAUGGCAGAGGGCUGAAAGUGACAUCAACGAUGUCCUGUUCUUUGUUGAAAGGUUUCCCCAUCUCCUCCCACACCAUGGGCCAGAGGAGCAUGACCUUCUGGGUGAGGAGUUUCUAAAUGAUCAGACCAUGCAAAUGAAAUCCCUGCAGGAUGAAACUGAAGUGGAAAGCUUCUAGGGUGAAAUGGCAAACAGGAAACAUAAGGUGACAGGAAUUUGAGAGGCUUGCUGCCGUCACCAAGCUCGUCCGGGUGUUGCCCCAUGCAAACGCAGACGCUGAGAGGGACUGAACAAAACCAAGAGAAGAAACAGCCUAUCAUUGGAUGGCACCCUGUCCUCAAUAAUGACCAUAAAGAUGGCCAGUCUGGAGCCCCCCUCCGAGAUCAUCAAGGCCCCCAAGAAGGCCUGAGGCCAGUAUAACCAUGCCCACAGAUCAUAGACAAGGACUUUAACCAGCUUCUGAUCUGCAUCUGAUACUGAUUAUGCCUCACUUUGUUGUCAUUUUUGUAAUGCAUUCAUCUGUUUUAUGCUUGGAAAAAGUUGUACUGUUUAAGUACUUUAAGCACUUUGCUUGUUGCACUUUAUUUGUGUCUGAUGGAC